GUGGCAUAGAGUCUGAUUCCCCAAGUUUUU
rnacentral:piRNA from 1 species